rnacentral:rRNA from 1 species
CCGGCGCACGGGUGAGUAACACGUAUCCAACCUGCCGUCUACUCUUGGACAGCCUUCUGAAAGGAAGAUUAAUACAAGAUGGCAUCAUGAGUCCGCAUGUUCACAUGAUUAAAGGUAUUCCGGUAGACGAUGGGGAUGCGUUCCAUUAGAUAGUAGGCGGGGUAACGGCCCACCUAGUCUUCGAUGGGUAGGGGUUCUGAGAGGAAGGUCCCCCACAUUGGAACUGAGACACGGUCCAGACUCCUACGGGAGGCAGCAUG